GUCGAUGGCCGUGCUAUCCUGAACAAGCCCAAUCCUAUCUGAUCUUGGAAGCUAAGCAGGGUUGGGCCUGGUUAGUACUUGGAUGGGAUACCAUCUAGGAAAACCAGAUGCUGUAGGCC
rnacentral:rRNA from 1 species